rnacentral:misc_RNA from 1 species
GAUUGCUUGUUAUAUUUAAAAGUUACAAUCCAGCGUAGUUUCUAUAUCCAUCAUAUACAGCAGCAUUGAGCUUAAGAAAUCGAGGUGAAUCCAACAUUUAGAGUCAAUAGGCUUAGAAUACAUAACUACUGGCAAAUGUAUUACCUGGUUUGAUUCGGAAGCAGUGGAUUAAGCAAAUAUAUGUUCAACUUAUGUGGUAGUCUUUUGG